rnacentral:rRNA from 1 species
UACGUAGGGGGCAAGCGUUGUCCGGAUUUAUUGGGUUUAAAGGGUGCGUAGGCGGCCUUUUAAGUCAGUGCUGAAAUACUCUAGCUUAACUAGAGGGGUGGCAUUGAUACUGAAAGGCUUGAGUGAAGUCGAAGUAGGCGGAAUUGACGGUGUAGCGGUGAAAUGCUUAGAUAUCGUCAAGAACACCGAUAGUGUAGACAGCUUACUAAGCUUUAACUGACGCUGAGGCACGAAAGUGUGGGGAGCAAACAGG